GAUGAACGCUGGCGGUGUGCCUAAUACAUGCAAGUCGAGCGACCACAUGAUGAGCUUUCUCCUCUGCCGUUAGCGGGGGACGGGUGAGUAACACGUGCAUAGCCUACCUAUAUUUCUGGGAUAACUUCGGGAAACCAGAUCUAAUACCAGCUCAUAUAUCCUACCGCUUAGAUCAGUAGUUAAUGGCGCCUUUGCCGUCUCUAUUAGCUGGAGUCGCGUCGCAUUAGCUAGUUGGUAAGGUAACGGCAUACCAAGGCUACGAUGCGUAGCUGACCUGAGAGGGUGAUCAGCCACACUGGAACUGAGACACGGUCCAGACUCCUACGGGAGGCAGCAGUAGGGAAUCUUGCACAAUGGGCGCAAGCCUGACGGAGCCAUGCCGCGUGAGUGAAGAAGGCCUUCGGGUUGUAAAGCUCUUUUGUUAGGGAAGAAAAGAUGCAUGUGAAUCUAUGCAUGUUCUGACGGUACCUAAAGAAUAAGCAACGGCUAACUUCGUG
rnacentral:rRNA from 1 species